AGCGAACGUUUGCGGCGGGCUUAACACAUGCAAGUCGAACGGGCUGUUCCUUCGGGGGCAGUCAGUGGCGCACGGGUGCGUAACACGUAGGUAAUCAACCCUCUGGUUGGGGAUAACACUUCGAAAGGAGUGCUAAUACCCGGUAUGGCGCAGCGGUCUUCGGAUCGGCGGCGAGAAAGACCCGCAAGGGUUGCCAGAGGACGAGCCUGCGGCCCAUCAGCUAGUUGGCGAGGUAACGGCUCACCAAGGCGAAGACGGGUAGCUGGUCUGAGAGGAUGAUCAGCCACACUGGAACUGAGACACGGUCCAGACUCCUACGGGAGGCAGCAGUGGGGAAUAUUGCGCAAUGGGCGAAAGCCUGACGCAGCCACGCCGCGUGAGCGAUGAAGGCCUGGUCGUAAGACUCUGUGGGAGGAGAAGAAUAAAGACCUGUGAGAGCAGG
rnacentral:rRNA from 1 species